GCUUUGGUAGUGCAAUCGGUUAGCACAACCGACCGGGACAUCUGUAGUUGCGAGUUCGAGUCACGCCUAAGGCA
rnacentral:tRNA from 1 species